UACGUAGGGCGCAAGCGUUGUCCGGAAUUAUUGGGCGUAAAGAGCUCGUAGGCGGCUUGUUGCGUCGGUUGUGAAAGCCCGGGGCUUAACCCCGGGUCUGCAGUCGAUACGGGCAGGCUAGAGUGUGGUAGGGGAGAUCGGAAUUCCUGGUGUAGCGGUGAAAUGCGCAGAUAUCAGGAGGAACACCGGUGGCGAAGGCGGAUCUCUGGGCCAUUACUGACGCUGAGGACCGAAAGCAUGGGGAGCGAACAGG
rnacentral:rRNA from 1 species